GGGAGGGUAUUUAAGAACCAGGGAGGAGAGAGGCUACUUUUUCCAGCGUGGUCUGUCUGGCUGGUCCCUACUAGGUAUGAGGAGUCCCAAGGUGAUGCUGUGACUAUGAAAUUAGAGGAAAAAUGGUAAGUGAGACAUUGACAUUCGUGCUGAUGAGCAGCCCAGCUGGAUACUUGGGCAGAAUCAAAG
rnacentral:lncRNA from 1 species